rnacentral:rRNA from 1 species
GGGGUGAGUAAUGCUUAGGACUCUGCCUAUUAGUGGGGGACAACAUUCCGAAAGGGAUGCUAAUACCGCACACGUCCUACGGGAGAAAGCAGGGGCUCUUUAUGACCUUGCGCUAAUAGAUGAGCCUAAGUCGGAUUAGCUUGUUGGUGGGGUAAAGGCCUACCAAGGCGACGAUCUGUAGCGGGUCUGAGAGGAUGAUCCGCCACACUGGGACUGAGACACGGCCCAUACUCCUACGGGAGGCAGCAGUGGGGAAUAUUGGACAAUGGGGGGAACCCUGAUCCAGCCCUGCCGCGUGUGUGAAGAAGGCCUUUUGGUUGUAAAGCACUUUAAGUGGGGAGGAGGCUUACCUGGUUAAUACCUGGGCUAAGGUGGACGUUACCCACAGAAUAAGCGCCGGCUAAGUCUGUGCCAGCAGCCGCGGUAAUACAGAGGGUGCGAGCGUUAAUCGGAUUUACUGGGCGUAAAGCGCGCGUAGG